rnacentral:rRNA from 1 species
AGUGAACGCUGGCGGCGUGCCUAACACAUGCAAGUCGAACGAUGAUGAUGGAGCUUGCUCUAUCUGAUUAGUGGCGCACGGGUGAGUAAUGCAUAGAUAAUGUGCCCCUUAGUUCGGGAUAGCCACUGGAAACGGUGAUUAAUACCGGAUACUCCUUCUUGUCUCAAGGCAAGUCGGGAAGGUUUUUCGCUAAGGGAUCAGUCUAUGUUCCAUCAGGUAGUUGGUGAGGUAAUGGCUCACCAAGCCUAUGACGGAUAUCUGGUUUGAGAGGAUGAUCAGACACACUGGAACUGAGACACGGUCCAGACUCCUACGGGAGGCAGCAGUGAGGAAUAUUGCACAAUGGAGGAAACUCUGAUGCAGCAACGCCGCGUGGAGGAUGACGCAUUUCGGUGUGUAAACUCCUUUUAUUAGGGAAGAUAAUGACGGUACCUAAUGAAUAAGCACCGGCUAACUCCGUGCCAGCAGCCGCCGUAA